rnacentral:rRNA from 1 species
ACGAACGCUGGCGGCGUGCUUAACACAUGCAAGUCGAACGGAAAGGCCCUGCUUUUGUGGGGUGCUCGAGUGGCGAACGGGUGAGUAACACGUGAGUAACCUGCCCUUGACUUUGGGAUAACUUCAGGAAACUGGGGCUAAUACCGGAUAGGAGCUCCUGCUGCAUGGUGGGGGUUGGAAAGUUUCGGCGGUUGGGGAUGGACUCGCGGCUUAUCAGCUUGUUGGUGGGGUAGUGGCUUACCGAGGCUUUGACGGGUAGCCGGCCUGAGAGGGUGACCGGCCACAUUGGGACUGAGAUACGGCCCAGACUCCUACGGGAGGCAGCAGUGGGGAAUAUUGCACAAUGGGCGGAAGCCUGAUGCAGCAACGCCGCGUGCGGGAUGACGGCCUUCGGGUUGUAAACCGCUUUCGCCUGUGACGAAGCGUGAGUGACGGUAAUGGGUAAAGAAGCACCGGCUAACUACGUG